UUCCGGUUGAUCCUGCCGGAAGCCACUGCUAUCGGGCUCCGACUAAGCCGUGCGAGUCGAGGGGCUCCUUCGGGAGCACCGGCGGACGGCUCAGUAACACGUGGGCAACCUACCCUCGGGUGGGGGAUAACCUCGGGAAACUGAGGCUAAUACCCCAUAGGCCUCGGAUACUGGAAGGUUCCGAGGCUGAAAGCUCCGGCGCCCGAGGAUGGGCCUGCGGCCUAUCAGGUAGUUGGUGGUGUAAAGGACCACCAAGCCUGCGACGGGUACGGGCCCUGAGAGGGGGAGCCCGGAGAUGGACUCUGAGACACGAGUCCAGGCCCUACGGGGCGCAGCAGGCGCGAAACCUUCGCAAUGCGCGAAAGCGCGACGAGGGGAGCCCGAGUGCCCUUCCUUUUGGGAGGGCUUUUCCGGAGUCUAAAAAGCUCCGGGAAUAAGGGCUGGGCAAGACGGGUGCCAGCCGCCGCGGUAAUACCCGCAGCUCGAGUGGUGGCCACUAUUAUUGAGCCUAAAGCGUCCGUAGCCGGACCCGUAAAUCCCUGGGUAAAUCCUGGCGCUCAACGUCAGGAAUUCCGGGGAGACUGCGGGUCUUGGGACCGGGAGAGGCCGGAGGUACUCCCGGGGUAGGGGUAAAAUCCUGUAAUCCCGGGGGGACCACCUGUGGCGAAAGCGUCCGGCUUGAACGGCUCCGACGGUGAGGGACGAAGGCCAGGGGAGCGAACCGGAUUAGAUACCCGGGUAGUCCUGGCUGUAAACGCUGCCCGCUUGGUGUUGUCGGUCUUUCGGGGGCCGGCAGUGCCGGAGCGAAGGUGUUAAGCGGGCCGCUUGGGGAGUACGGCCGCAAGGCUGAAACUUAAAGGAAUUGGCGGGAGAGCACUGCAACGGGAGGAGCGUGCGGUUUAAUUGGAUUCAACGCCGG
rnacentral:rRNA from 1 species